rnacentral:rRNA from 1 species
GUGGGGAAUCUUCCACAAUGGACGAAAGUCUGAUGGAGCAACGCCGCGUGAGUGAAGAAGGGUUUCGGCUCGUAAAGCUCUGUUGUCGGGGACGAACGUGAGAUACUUGAAUAAAGUGUCUUAAUGACGGUACCUGACGAGGAAGCCACGGCUAACUACGUGCCAGCAGCCGCGGUAAUACGUAGGUGGCAAGCGUUGUCCGGAAUUAUUGGGCGUAAAGGGAGCGCAGGCGGGAAGGUAAGUCGGUCUUAAAAGUGCGGGGCUCAACCCCGUGAUGGGAUCGAAACUAUCUUUCUUGAGUGCAGGAGAGGAAAGUGGAAUUCCUAGUGUAGCGGUGAAAUGCGUAGAUAUUAGGAAGAACACCAGUGGCGAAGGCGACUUUCUGGACGAAAACUGACGCUGAGGCGCGAAAGCCAGGGGAGCGAACGGGAUUAGAAACCCUAGUAGUCC